rnacentral:rRNA from 1 species
AUACGGAGACCUCGAGCGUUACUCGGAUUACACUGGGCGUAAAAGGGUGAGUAGGCGGCCAUGUAUGUCGGGUGUGAAAUUCCCGGGGCUUAACCCCGGGAACUGCGCCCGGAACUACUUGGCUAGAAGUCUCGGAGAGGAUAGUGGAAUUCCAGGGUCGUAGCGGUUGAAAUGUCGUAGAUAUCUGGAGGAACCACCAGUGGCGAAGGCGACUGUCUGGACGAGAACUGACGCUCAAUCACGAAAGCGUGGGUAGCGAAAGGGAUUAGAUACCCCUGUAGUCCACGCCGUAAACGUUGUACACUAAGUUUCGGAGGAUUCGACCCUUCGGAGCUCAAGCUAACGCGUUAAGUGUACCGCCUGAGGACUACGGCCGCAAGGCU